rnacentral:rRNA from 1 species
ACCAGGAUUUCCUUAGUAGCGGCGAGCGAACAGGAAGGAUCCCAGCACUGAAUCCCGCGGUUCCGCCGCACGGAAAUGUGGUGUUCGGGAGGGUCUGACUACCCCGAGGUGUCGCAUCGCGUCCAAGUCCAUCUUGAAUGGGGCCACUUACCCGCAGAAGGUGCUAGGCCCGUAGCGACCGGUACGUGCCUCGGGAGUAUCUCUCCUUAGAAUCGGGUUGCUUGAGAGUGCAGCUCUAAGUGGGUGGUAAACUCCAUCUAAGGCUAAAUACGACUACGAGACCGAUAGCGAAAAAGUACCGUGAGGGAAAGUUGAAAAGAAUUUUGAAGAGGGAGUUCAAGAGUACGUGAAACCGUUCAGGGGUAAACCUAAGAAACCCAAAAGAUCGAACGGGGAGAUUCAUCGUCAGGGGCGUCGGCUUGUCGUCGGUGGGCGAUGAUACGUUCCGACUACGUCGGAGCGGGCACGCUGCCGUGCGCGCAUGACCGGCGUCGUCGUCGUGCACCUCUCCCCUAGUAGAACGUCGCGAACCGCUGGGGUCUCGGUCUAGGGCCCGGGCAGGCUAACUGUCGCGUCGCAGGUUAUAUGGCACGCAGCAAACCCCCGGACGCCCGGCCGUCUACCCGGCGGUACUCGCACGGUAUCAGGCCGCAGCCCUCUCACAGGGCGCUCUUGUGCCUCAGGCCCGCCACGCCAAGCGCACGCCACGGUUACUCGGAGGUACGCACCAAGCGCCGUCCCAGGUCCUGGCCCGCUGUUGGCCGACGGUGAUCCUCUGACAGGCCUUACGGGGCGCGAUACGCGGGUGGCGUUCCUCGCUGUCCCGCGCGUCCAUCCCGAUAGGUCCCGAGAGGUCGGCGACGCUCUACUGCUUUGAGUA